rnacentral:rRNA from 1 species
UACAGAGGGUGCAAACGUUGCUCGGAAUUACUGGGCGUAAAGCGAGUGUAGGCGGUUUGGUAAGUCGGAUGUGAAAGCCCCGGGCUCAACCCGGGAAGUGCACUCGAUACUACCAGGCUAGAGUAUCGGAGAGGUUGGUGGAAUUCUCGGUGUAGAGGUGAAAUUCGUAGAUAUCGAGAGGAACACCGGUGGCGAAGGCGGCGACCUGGACAAUGACUGACGCUGAGACGCGAAAGCGUGGGGAGCAAACAGG